rnacentral:rRNA from 1 species
AUUGAACGCUGGCGGCAGGCCUAACACAUGCAAGUCGAACGAGUGGCGGACGGGUGAGUAAUGUCUGGGAAACUGCCUGAUGGAGGGGGAUCACUACUGGAAACGGUAGCUAAUACCGCAUACCAUCGGAUGUGCCCAGCUGGGAUUAGCUAGUAGGUGGGGUAAAGGCUCACCUAGGCGACGAUCCCUAGCCGGUCUGAGAGGAUGACCGGCCACACGGGAACUGAUACGCGGUCCGGACUCCUACGGGAGGCAGAAGUGGGGAGUAUUGCACAAUGGGGGCAAGCCUGAUGCGGCCAUGCCGCGUGUAUGAAGAAGGCCUUCGGGUUGUAAAGUACUUUCAGCGGGGAGGCGGUACCCGCAGAAGAAGCACCGGCUAACUCCGUGCCAGCAGCCGCGGUAAUAC